rnacentral:rRNA from 1 species
AAUAGGGCUUCCCGUCCGCUCAGCCGUACUCAAGCCACACGCCGGGAGGUUAGUAGUUGGGUGGGUGACCACCAGCGAAUCCCUUCUGUUGUAUGUU